ensembl:snRNA U2 U2 spliceosomal RNA
AUCGCUUCUCAGCCUUUUGGCUAAGAUCAAGUGUAGUCUCUGUUCAAGGUUUCCCUACUUUUACAAACAGGAAGGAACCGUUCUGCUUUUAAUUUUUAGACUACGUAUUUAGUAUCUGGUGUCAGGAGAGUGGCAGAGGCCUGGAGCAUCCCAGGGUGAGAGGCCCACUCCUC